UACGGAGGGAGCUAGCGUUGUUCGGAAUUACUGGGCGUAAAGCGCACGUAGGCGGAUAUUUAAGUCAGGGGUGAAAUCCCAGAGCUCAACUCUGGAACUGCCUUUGAUACUGGGUAUCUUGAGUAUGGAAGAGGUAAGUGGAAUUGCGAGUGUAGAGGUGAAAUUCGUAGAUAUUCGCAGGAACACCAGUGGCGAAGGCGGCUUACUGGUCCAUUACUGACGCUGAGGUGCGAAAGCGUGGGGAGCAAACAGG
rnacentral:rRNA from 1 species